AGGACGAACGCUGGCGGCGCGCUUAACACAUGCAAGUCGAGCGAGAACCCAGGCUUCGGUCUGGGGGAAAGCGGCGAACGGGUGAGUAACACGUGGGUAAUCUGCCCUCGACAUCGGGAUAGCCCGGGGAAACCCGGAUUAAUACCGAAUGGCCCAUCAGCUUUUCGAAGCGGAUGGAAAAGGUAGCUUCGGCCUCCGGUCGAGGAGGAGCCCGCGGCGGAUUAGCUUGUUGGUGAGGUAACGGCUCACCAAGGCUUCGAUCCGUAGCUGGUCUGAGAGGACGAUCAGCCACACUGGGACUGAGACACGGCCCAGACUCCUACGGGAGGCAGCAGUGGGGAAUCUUGCGCAAUGGGCGAAAGCCUGACGCAGCGACGCCGCGUGAGGGAAGAAGGCCUUCGGGUUGUAAACCUCUUUCAGGAGGGACGAAGCCACUCGGGUUAAUAGCCCAGAGGGUGACGGUACCUCCAGAAGAAGCCCCGGCUAACUACGUGCCAGCAGCCGC
rnacentral:rRNA from 1 species